rnacentral:rRNA from 1 species
AAUCAACGCUGGCGGCGUGCCUCAGACAUGCAAGUCGAACGCGAAAGUCCCCUUCGGGGGGCAAGUAGAGUGGCGCACGGGUGAGUAACACGUAGGUAAUCUACCUUUGGAGUGGGAAUAACAACCGGAAACGGUUGCUAAUACCGCAUAAUGCAGCGGCACCUAAUGGUGACAGUUGUUAAAGCGGGGGAUCGAAAGACCUCGCGUCUGAAGAGGAGCCUGCGGCGGAUUAGCUAGNGGUAAGGUAACGGCUUACCAAGGCAACGAUCCGUAGCCGGCCUGAGAGGGCGGUCGGCCACACUGACACUGACAUACGGGUCAGACU